AGGCGGAACUCGCGGCGAUUCCUUUGUUCUUUGUGUCCCCGUGCCACGUCAUUUCCACGCGCCACGCAAAUUGCUCUGGCAAGUGUCAUUCGUCGUGUUUUCAGUCAAAAGCAUAGGAAAAACACCGUUCGAAAGUAGAAAAAUAAAUAUUUUUGCGAAGUUGCUCAACCAAUCUUCAUUUUGGGACUCAAAUUUGAAAGAUAAAUGGUAAGUGGUUAUUUUUAUGUAAAAAGAUAUACGUUUAUAGGCUAAAUACAAAGAAAAAAAGUAUAAUACAAAUUACAAUCUCGGUGCUUGUGAUGUUCUUGCCAAGAAGCAGAUUCCCAUUUCGCUAAAUUAAUGCGGGCCAAACGUAUUGCUUUCCUGUCUUUUACAUUAAUAAGAAAGCAUAGGUGCUGAUUUGAAACACGUCCAUCAGGUUCCAUGCAUGCAGCUUUGCGAUUUGUGAGCAAAAAUUAAAAGUUAAACUAUAUCCUAUGUUUUUAAUACUUUCUGUGCAACUAAUAACCACAUUCACAAAUAUAUUCUCCAGCAAAGAAACGUUUCUUUACGGAUAUUUAAUCCGCAUUUGAAGGCAUGCUUAUGCCUUCAAAGGUCAGAGGUCUUUCACAUGCAGAAUAGCAGAGACUACUGUCAUUGACAUCUUUUGUCACAAAAUUAUGAUGGCAUAUUGGACAGCUAUGUUGGAUAAGGCACUUCCUUAAUAAAUAGCCUGACACAUAAGUUCAUGCAGACUAAGUUUUGUUCAAUUUCAUUUGUUUUGUAGUCGGUAUCUUCAACUGCUUGGAUUAGUGGUGGGCUUGUCUGAUCAUUUCCUGCAGAUAAAUCAGAUUGGCUAGGGUGAAAUGCAAUCAAAUAGGCAUCAGAAUCUUCAGCACAGGUGCCAAUUGAAAGUGGUGUCAAAAUAUUAUCUACAAAUAAUAUUCAAAAUGCUCUGGUGAACUGGAUGGAACUAGUUGGUUGUCACAAUUCCCCCCCCCUGCUGCUUAAUGAGGCCAAAGAAGUUCUCCAGAGGAUCUUGGUUGAGACAUCUUGUCAUGAGAAACUCCAAGGAAUGAUGUUGGUUUAUAAGGUCUUGAAAUGUAAAUACUACAGUGUAAUUACUACUGACAGUGUAAAUACUACUGACAGUGUAAAUACUACUGACAGUGUAAAUACUACAACAGUGAAAUGUAAAUACAACAGUGUAAUUGGGGUUUAAAAAUACAAAGUUUAUUUUAAUAAAUGUUGUUUAUUUUAUUUCACAUUUAUAUACAUUUAAGAACUUAAAUUAUUCAAAAACUAAAUAAAUUAAAUAUGUGUUCAAUGUCAAUGAAUAUUGCUAUAUUCUAAAUUUUUUAUUCCAAAAUAGGCAAUAACUGUUUCCUUUAUAGUUGACCCCACAUGUUGUCAUGAAAAUUAAUACUAAAUAAAAAAAGUAGCCAAUGAUCCAUGUUUCCUCUUACAGUCUUUGCUUUAUAUGAAAAAUUAAAUACUAUGAAUAAUUGCAUUGUUCCUUUUAUUGAUAAAGAGUUUCCCAUUAAAAGAGAAAGUAUUCCCAAUUAAUACUUUGCCUGUUAAAGUGUGCCCACCCCUUGACGAGUAAAAUCGUCUGGCGUUAGACAGAGUAAAAUAAUAAAGUAGGGUGCAUCAGGGCACAUGCAAUGCAACUCAAUGGGUUAACUGGAUCGCCCGGUGUUAGACAGAAUAAUAAAGUUGGGUUAACAAGUAAAAUUGUCUAGCUUUACAGUACAUCUUCCAAGGGGGGCUGGAUUUGGGGAGCAGGCCUACCACUUUGGGGAGGGCUGCUUUUUUGAACCUCAAUUAAACUAUUACAGUAAUCUGACGGCCUGUCUAUAUGGUCUCCGGGUACUAGGGAAAUCUUACCCCCCCCCCCGAGCCACCCUAUUAUAGCAACUGCCAUGCAAGUGUUUGCAUGGAAAGUUUUGAAUUUGUCUUGCCUAGGUGGAUGAUCCAGGUAGUAAGGUCACUCCGUCAGGGGGUACAGCAUCUCUAUUACUCAAGAUUAAUUAAGGCAUUCCAAAUAUAAGAUCAAAUAGUCUCAGGUUUUCCCCAGUCAGAAGAACAAAUUAACAUAGUUGUAAGAAAAAUCUGCAUCUGAUUCAUUGUAAUGAACAAUGUAGUUCAACAGGAA